AUUGCACAAUGGGGGAAACCCUGAUGCAGCGACGCCGCGUGAAGGAAGAAGUAUCUCGGUAUGUAAACUUCUAUCAGCAGGGAAGCAAUGACGGUACCUGACUAAGAAGCCCCGGCUAACUACGUGCCAGCAGCCGCGGUAAUA
rnacentral:rRNA from 1 species